rnacentral:lncRNA from 10 species
GGACGGUGAUGAACCCGGAGACCCGGCAGCCAGGCUGGGCUGCAGCAGCCUUUGCCUGGACGUCAGGGUGGAGCCCGGGAAUCGCCCCUGCGCCGGGUGACGGAGGAGAAAGGGGCCCGCAGGAGGCAGGAGGGAGCGCCUGGCACAGGGACCCAGGGACUCGAGCAGGUGGUCCCUGGGGAACGGGGAGUGAGGCCGGAAGGAGAGAAAGCCAAGACCAGGAACAGAAACCAAGAAUAACCACAAUUUCUGAAGACCUCUUGGAAAUCGGGAAUUCUAGCUUCCCAGUUCCAAGGAUAAAAGUUGGCAAUGAAUCCCUUAAGUGGUGGCCAUGAACACACCUAAAACUUUCAAACGGACACCGAGGAGCCCGCAACGGGUGAGCCUUUGCAAUUUGAAAACAUGAAUAAGAGCACGUCAGGCAGUUCUUGUCUGGGCGGCUGGUCAGGUCCAAUGGGCACAGCCACUUUGUGCAUGGAGGAAACGUCGGAAGUGUCAGGAAGCCCCGCUUUCUUUCUUUCUGCCACAUUUUCUGUGUGAAAUGUUUCUACUGAUUUAAUGCCAGCAGACCUUUCAAAUGGGAAGACGUAUUGGUGUCUUAUUCCACUAAAUUCUAUCUAAAACUUUCUUUACUUCAUGACUCAUCAGAGAUUGAUGAGGGGCCAGGACUCAGCCUUGAAAAAUGGCUAGGCUGGGGCAUCGAGGAGUCCCUGGCUAGGAAGGAGCCUCAAGGCCUCUGAUGCAGGGGCUCCCUGAGGGCUGGGCUGUUGUGGAAAUUGUGCUGGAGAGGAGGACUGAUGCUUAGACCCAGUGGAUCUAAAUCUCUGAAGAAAGGGCCUGGAAAUCCUUGUUUUCAAGCUCCCAGGUAUUUCUGUACACAGCUGGGACCAGGGAAAGAACUCAAGCCCUCAUCUAGAUAAUGCCUUCAUCACAGGGCCGCACCACCCCCUGCCUGACUCUACGGUGUCACCAGCCCUUCUGGUAGAAGGUCCUCCCUGGCACGGAGCUGCAUCUGUCUCCAUUAGCAUUUAACCCUGGGUCCUGGUUCUCUUUCCAGCAGCCAAGAGAAUGAAGCUUUACACUUGGCCUGGAAUUCCUGUCUGUGUGACUUUUUGAUGUCGUCCAUGAAGGCUUUGUGAUUGAUAAAGACUAGUUGUAGCUGUUUCCAUUCUGUAAAUAUGUAUGCAAUGUAUUAAAACCACACACUUAGGAACUCUGGCUUCUCCUAAGUUUUAAAGAUCAACUUACAGAACAUUUUUACUCUAUUAUACACGUUGUUAGUUAAAUAUUCAAGAAGUCUUUGGUUCGUGUUCCCCCUCAUUGAAAUUGAGUCAACUGAAUUUCCUUAAACAAUCAGUCUUAUGUACAAACUUAGUUAGGUUUCUGUUGACACUUCAUGCUACGUUCAUAAAUUUUCUCUGUUUUCCUGUUAAGCAUUUCAAGUGCCCAGGCUGGAAGUAGUACCUGUCCAAGAACCUCCAGCCACUCCAGUGGAUUAAAGAAUUCGACUCUGGGAUGUGGUGAAUCUCAAGUUCUGUUAACACUCAAAAACUUUUUAGACCUUCCAACUAAAAAUCACACUCACAAUUCAAAAUAAAUUACCCAGCUGAAAGAAUGACAGGUUUCCUCCAUCAGUCUCUAAAUUUAUCAAAUUCAUCACCCAAGAUACGCAGACCUGUUUUAAUGCAAAAGUAUUAAGAUGAUGGGAUUGAUUAAGUCCCUCACCUUGUUCUUUAGUUCUAAGCCUUCCAGGAGCUAAGGGAGCACUUACCACCAAGAGAAUGCUUAGCAUCUGAAAGGGGUUGAGUUUGCCAUCCCAGGAGAAUUGGCAUUAACAUCCCAGGAAACCUAAGACUCCAUCUCAGUCGGCUAAGUAUGCAUAUUGGCCAGAGAGUUUUGACCCGGACCUGAACCCCAGGAGGACUGGGACUUUCUUAUAGCAAACCAUGGCCUUUCAGCCACCUCUGCUGCCAGCCAACAUUUCACUGAAGGUUUCCAUUCCUUCCACAAUGCUCAGAUUCUUCUGUGGGGUCAGAGAGAGGAGAAUACCUCUUAUAAGGUCUUGCACAACAUUUCAUCCACUGUUUUCUCUCCUGAGCGCAUGCCAAGUGCAGAGAACUGCAAACCCUACACUAGUAAUGGGUCCCCAUUGUGGAAGCUGCCCCCUGUUGAGGACACCGGCAUCCUUUGAGGUUGCAUAAGCCCACACUGGAGGAGGGGGUGGCUUAUGCAGAAGCUGAGAAGCUGAGGACAAGGCACUUUGAAAGGAGGUUGUCCUCCUUUGGAGCCCUGUUCUUGCCUUUGCAAUGUGAUUUCAACAGUUCCGUGUGUGUGUGUGUGUGUGUGUGUGUGUGUGUGUGUGUGAAGAAUGAUUGUGCUCUUUGGGGCAACAAAACAGAUUAGGGCAAUGCAUCAUGAGGACCUCUUGCCAAGUUACUAACAGAGGAAGUCUGUAUCACUGCAGUGGGAUCUUAGGGUGCCUCCCUGUUUUAUGCCUGGAAAAACAAGCACAACAUGCACAAUUACAAACAAAAAAACUAGGGUUGGCAUUGCCAAAACUUUCACUGAUAACUUCUUUUUCCAGCUGUACUGUUUGUGCACACAUGCAAACAUAUUUGUCCUGUUUGUUUGGAAAUAGGGAUGGAGAUAGAACAUAGAAUGCAAGUAAUGUUAGUUAUCAGCAUUUUGCUCAGUAUUUC